UGGUGAACACAUAGAGGUGCCUAAAUGGAAGACUUGAUCUUCCUACCUCCUACAUGACUUCUAUGACAUUUAGAGGUUGAUGAUGAUGAAAUGAAAGAGGUAGCACGAUGCCUAGAUACACACUUUAGACGUUAGAUUUAAAUAUGUUGUAUCGAAUUUUGGUUAUGUUGGUUUGUUAUUUUGAUUAAACUUGUUAUUUGGGAUCUUGUAUUGAUGACUACUUGAAGUUUGGAAAUGAAAUUUGGAUUAUUAAAUUAUUGUCACAAAUAGCGUUAU
rnacentral:lncRNA from 1 species